UACGGAGGAUGCGAGCGUUAUCCGGAUUUAUUGGGUUUAAAGGGUGCGUAGGCGGGCUUGUAAGUCAGCGGUGAAAGACUGUCGCUCAACGAUAGCAUUGCCGUUGAUACUGUAGGCCUUGAGUACAAUUGAGGUAGGCGGAAUGUGUAGUGUAGCGGUGAAAUGCUUAGAUAUUACACAGAACACCAAUUGCGAAGGCAGCUUACUAAACUGUAACUGACGCUGAGGCACGAAAGCGUGGGGAU
rnacentral:rRNA from 1 species